UACGAAGGGGGCUAGCGUUGCUCGGAAUCACUGGGCGUAAAGCGCACGUAGGCGGAUUGUUAAGUCAGGGGUGAAAUCCUGGAGCUCAACUCCAGAACUGCCUUUGAUACUGGCGAUCUCGAGUCCGGGAGAGGUGAGUGGAACUGCGAGUGUAGAGGUGAAAUUCGUAGAUAUUCGCAAGAACACCAGUGGCGAAGGCGGCUCACUGGCCCGGUACUGACGCUGAGGUGCGAAAGCGUGGGAG
rnacentral:rRNA from 1 species